rnacentral:rRNA from 1 species
UAGGGAAUCUUCGGCAAUGGGGGCAACCCUGACCGAGCAACGCCGCGUGAGUGAAGAAGGUUUUCGGAUCGUAAAGCUCUGUUGUAAGAGAAGAACGUGUGUGAGAGUGGAAAGUUCACACAGUGACGGUAACUUACCAGAAAGGGACGGCUAACUACGUGCCAGCAGCCGCGGUAAUACGUAGGUCCCGAGCGUUGUCCGGAUUUAUUGGGCGUAAAGCGAGCGCAGGCGGUUUAAUAAGUCUGAAGUUAAAGGCAGUGGCUUAACCAUUGUUCGCUUUGGGAACUGUUAAACUUGAGUGCAGAAGGGGGGAGUGGAAUUCCAUGUGUAGCGGUGAAAUGCGUAGAUAUAUGGAGGAACACCGGUGGCGAAAGCGGCUCUCUGGUCUGUAGCUGACGCUGAGGCUCGAAAGCGUGGGGAGCAAACAGG